rnacentral:rRNA from 1 species
UACGUAGGCAGCAAGCGUUGUUCGGAGUUACUGGGCGUAAAGGGUGUGUAGGCGGUUGCUUAAGUUUGGUGUGAAAUCUCCCGGCUCAACUGGGAGGGUGCGCCGAAUACUGAGUGACUCGAGUGCGGGAGAGGAAAGUGGAAUUCCUGGUGUAGCGGUGAAAUGCGUAGAUAUCAGGAGGAACACCCAUGGCGAAGGCAGUUCACUGGCAGUCUCCUGACGCUGAGGCGCGAAAGCGUGGGUAGCAAACAGG